GAACGCUAGCCUGUCACGCUAGAGGUCGACGGUUCGAACCCGUUCCGGGUCGCCA
rnacentral:tRNA from 1 species